GAGGACUUGAAUUGGGUCAGAGGUAGAGCAUGAAGGUGAUGUUACAGAAGUUGGAUGAACACGAUAAGGUUAUGUGUUUUCUUCUGUCAGACCAAGGGAUUGGAUAGCUCUUGCACAUUCUGCCUUCGUUAACUGCGGGUGCUUCAGUCUCCACAUCCGACGGAUAUGAUUAUUGUUACAUAGAAGUUAAUGUAUGAUCUUGGAAGAGGUAAAGAUUGGAUAGUACUUCUGCCGAGUUCCUAUUUUUAGAAAUGGUGAAUAUGUUCUAUCUGUAUGUAAUAAUAGCUCAAAAGAUCACACAUUAACUUUAUACUUUCAUUAGCUGUUCCAGAAAAAGAAACAUACAUCUGCAGUGAGACCUUCCAAUCUUCAAUAUAGAGCUUCUUUCAA